CAGUCGCCGCGGUAAUACGAAGGGGGCUAGCGUUGUUCGGAAUCACUGGGCGUAAAGGGUGCGUAGGCGGGAUCUUAAGUCAGGGGUGAAAUCCCGAGGCUCAACCUCGGAACUGCCUUUGAUACUGGGGUCCUUGAGUCCGGAAGAGGUGAGUGGAACUGCGAGUGUAGAGGUGAAAUUCGUAGAUAUUCGCAAGAACACCGGUGGCGAAGGCGGCUCACUGGUCCGGAACUGACGCUGAGGCACGACAGCGUGGGGAGCAAACAGGAUUAGAUACCCCCGUAGUCCCUGUCUCUUAUAA
rnacentral:rRNA from 1 species